CUAAGUUUCGAUAAAGACGUGGAAGAUAGAAGUGGAAGUGCAUAUCGUUUCAACGUUUUUGUUAUGAACAUCGGAUUAAAAUUUGAAGUUGUGAACUUAAUUGUUAUAAACAUUGGAUAAACGAUGGCAUUAAGGAGGAUACCGUACCUAUUUCGUCGAAGAUCCACUCGUGAGAGAACGAGGAUGAGAUGGUGAGUGGGAAGGCGCAGAGAGGCAUGCGGCUGUCACUGAUCGCAAGGUUGAUGAUGUAACGGUCGUUACGGGACAGGCGGGACCAGUUCGAGAAGCACGUGUGCACGACCAUCACGUUUAGCGUCACCGCGAAGAAACCUGUGGGAGAGAAAAAUAAAAGGCAUCAUAGGCGGAGAUAGGGGACAAGUGGAAAUCUCUAGGACAAGUGGAAUUAGUUCUUCACUAGUUCUGAGAGGGAUCCAAUCAUCGCAGCAAGGUAUCGCCUCAUUUCGGCGUUGCUUACGCAGGUCGCUUUUCACCCAGAUGGUGUGUGGUAAUUAAGCAGCAAGCAAUCGGUACCCGACUUGGAUUGUGAAAAUUGCGCUGAAAUCAUGACUGCAUUGCAAGUGUAUUAUGUUACUGUCUUCCUUGUAGGCAGUGUUCAUCUUACCGGCUUCUGCGCAUUUGAAACUAUUCAGGAAUGUCCUGAUUGGCCAAGUUGUUCAAAACGUUGUGGAGGCGGGCAACAAUGUCGAACAUGCGAGUUAUGUUUGUUGAUAAAUAUACCAAAAACUGGAUUGUCAGAACUGCAACGAAUAUUGUGUUAAUGGUUAUUCAUUUGUGAACGGAGGAUGCCUUUGUCCGAGUUGGAGAUCGGGAGAAUGUUGUGAGGUCUGCAGACAUAUAAACAUCCCCAACUGUGUCUCUGGACAACAGCAAUGCGGCGGGUACCCUGAUGGCAUCAUGUGUACCCAGUGUGAGUCUGGAUAUUAUUCAGGCGGAUACAACCAAGGAUGUUUAGGUACAUCAAGCAUUCCAGUAACAUCACUGUCGAAUACAACAACAAAGGGUCAGACAAUUGUGACAACACAUACUACACGAAAAACCAUCCUACAAAGAAAACAAACACUAUCGCUUGAAAUCGCAACACCACCAAAGAAUAUACAAUCAACCGCCUCCUCGUCGACAACUUCAAGUCACUCUGACUCUUCAUACCAAGAGGCCCCUCAAA